CGGGUGAGUAACGCGUGAGGAACCUGCCUCAAAGAGGGGGACAACAGUUGGAAACGACUGCUAAUACCGCAUAAGCCCACGGCUCGGCAUCGAGCAGAGGGAAAAGGAGCAAUCCGCUUUGAGAUGGCCUCGCGUCCGAUUAGCUAGUUGGCGAGGUAACGGCCCGCCAAGGCAACGAUCGGUAGCCGGACUGAGAGGUUGAACGGCCACAUUGGGACUGAGACACGGCCCAG
rnacentral:rRNA from 1 species